GUGAAUCAUCGAAUCUUUGAACGCAAAUUGCGCUUCCUGGCAUCCCGGGAAGUAUGCCUGUUUGAGGGUCAGUAUUAACAAAAAAUCGGUUUGUUUGCAAAUUGUGUGGUUUCCGGAGUUUGGGCUAUCUUAACUUUUUUGGUUAAGGGACUUAAAAUUUUCCUGCUUUGCGCAUUUUUAUCCUU
rnacentral:misc_RNA from 1 species